ACUGCCAUGUCAGCUUCCGCCCAUUCUUGCUUCCCCUUACCCCUUCUCUCACGCUAUUACUCAUUUCUUCUUCACAAUUCCUUUUUUUCAAUACCAAAACACAUUUUGCAAAAUUUUCCUCUGAUUUUUUUCAGCCAAAAAUCUCUCAUCGAUGUCACUUAAGCUGCACCAUCAGAAUCUCGUCUCCGGCAGCUCUUCAAGCUCACUGGUUGCAGUUAAACCAAUAAAAACUUAUUUCUUUAAUAGAAGGGUGGUUGGCUUGGACCACCUACUAUUCAACCGUUGUUAUACUAGGAAGAAAAGUCGUGUAAGGCUUUCCCUUCCUGAAAGCAGUGAACUGAGUUUUAUCUGCAGAUUGCCUCAAUUUAGGAAACAAUCCAUUUGUAGAUUAACAAGGAUGGAUCGUCUACUACCUCGUGCUUCUGCUGAUGAUAGCAUGACAGUUAAUGGAAGUCCUCAAGCAAGCACAGGCAGUAAUGUUGAGGAAAUGAGGUUCAAGCUAAAUCAGUCUUUGCAAGGUGAAGACUACAAUGCUGGUCUUGUCCAGUCAUUACAUGAUUCUGCAAGGGAAUUUGAGCUGGCAAUUAAACAACAUAAGUCUUUCUCAAAGAUUUCCUGGUUCUCGACUCCGUGGCUUGGUGUGGACAAAGCUGCUUGGGUUAAGGCACUAUCUUAUCAGGCAUCUGUUUAUUCCCUGCUACAAGCGGCAAGUGAGAUUUCUUCUCGAGGAGAUGGAAGAGAUGGAGAUGUCAUCGUCUUUGUGCAGAAGAGUCUAUCGCAGCAAUUUGCUCCUCUGGAGAAUAUUAUUAAAGAGAAGUUAUUAGCUAAGCUACCGGAAGCUUAUGAAUGGUUUUGGUCAGAGCAAAUCCCAGUUGCAGUGACCAACUUUGUUGAUUAUCUUGAAAAGGACCAGCGCUUUGCCACUGCUACUGAAACAUUCAGAAAAGGCCUGUCCUCAGUUUCUGGAAGUCCAAGUGACAUAUCGGUUCUCAUGCUUGCACUUAGUUGCAUAGCGGCAAUUGCCAGACUUGGCCCAGCAAAAGUUUCUUGUGCUCCAUUUUUUUCCAUUAUUCUGGACAUAACAGGCAGAUUGAUGGACAUGCUGGUUGAAAUUGUUCCCAUUCGCCAAGCUUACCAUUCAAUAAAGGAAAUUGGCUUACGCAGAGAAUUUCUCGUCCAUUUUGGUCCUCGAGUUGGUGCAUGUAGAAUCAAGAAUGAUCUGGGCACAGAAGAGAUUAUGUUUUGGGUGGAUCUUAUACAAAAACAACUACGGCGAGCUAUAGAUCGGGAGAAAAUUUGGUCAAGAGUCACCACAUGUGAAAGCAUCGAGGUUUUGGAGAAGGAUUUAGCUAUAUUUGGGUUUUUCAUUGCCUUAGGGAGAAGCACACAAUUCUACCUAUCUGUAAAUGGUUUUGACACUGUUGAUGUGCCCAUCAAAGGAUUUAUACGGUACCUAAUUGGGGGCAGUGUACUAUAUUAUCCUCAGCUUUCAUAUAUUAGUGCUUAUCAACUGUAUGUGGAGGUUGUGUGUGAAGAACUGGGCUGGCUUCCUUUCUAUCCAGGCAGCAGCAGUACCUCCAAGCGCACUCCUGGGCACAAAAAUACAGAAGGUCCACCCAAUACUGAAGCGAUUUGUCUAGUAUUGGAUGUGUGCUCUUACUGGAUCCAGAGUUUUAUUAAGUACAGCAAAUGGCUGGAGAAUCCCUCUAAUGUUAAGGCAGCUCAAUUUCUUUCCAAAGGGCACGACCAGUUAAAAAUGUGCAUGCAAGAACUGGGGAUAAAGAAGACUGGAUCUGGAAAUUAUUUACCACUCGAGAAAGAGUUGGAUUCAUUUGAUAAGGCAUUGGGGAGUGUUGAAGAAGCUCUUUUACGGCUUGAAGACUUGCUUCAGGAGCUGCAUGUGAAAAGCUCUAGUUCUGGAAAGGAUCACAUAAAAGCUGCCUGUUCAGACCUUGAAAGGAUAAGAAGACUAAAGAAAGAAGCUGAAUUUCUCGAGGCAUCUUUCAGAGCUAAGGCAGCUUCUCUUCAGCAGGGAGAUGAUGUCAGUAGUUCAACCUCUCCAAUUAGUGAGCAACAUCAAUAUUCUAGAGGACAAGGCAGCAAAAGUGCUAAUAUGAAAAUGGAUAGGAGCAGCAGGAUACGCAAUCCUCAUGGAUUAUGGAAUAUUUUAGCUUACAGCCCAGGAAAAGCAUCUGAUGCUGGUUCAUCAACUGCAAUUGAAAAUGAUGGUGGAUACCAUGAACAGGAAAUUGUGGGCAAGGAAAUUGUUGACUCGGAAUCCAAUGAAAUUCAACGUUUUGAACUCUUAAGGAGUGAACUAAUAGAACUGGAGAAACGAGUUCAAAAGAGCACUGAUCAGUAUGAAUAUGAUGAGGAAGAAAUUCAGACGAGAGAUAAUGUUAUGAGGUACAGUAAUGAAGCUAAAGGUGCUCAAUUGGUUCAGGUUCAGAAGAAAGAAACUGUAAUUGAGAAAUCAUUGGAUAAGCUGAAAGAAACAAGCACGGAUGUAUGGCAAGGCACCCAGCUUCUAGCCAUUGACACUGGCGCUGCUAUGGGACUGCUAAGGAGGGUUCUAAUGGGGGAUGAAUUAACGGAGAAAGAAAAACAAUCUCUCCAAAGAACAUUAACUGACUUGGCUUCAGUAGUUCCAAUUGGCUUUCUCAUGCUGCUUCCAGUUACUGCAGUAGGGCAUGCUGCUAUAUUGGCUGCAAUUCAACGAUAUGUACCAUCACUGAUACCUUCCACUUACGGACCUGAAAGGUUAGAUCUCUUGAGGGAGCUUGAGAAAGUAAAGGAAAUGGAAGACGAGGUGAAUCCCAACGAAAGUCCAGAGCAAUAACCCACAUUCACACAUCAAUUUUGUUCUGAAUCUAGUUUCACAGUUUGGCUUAUAGAAGUUCAUUCCGGGUUUCUUGCACUCCGGGUAUGUACUCGCUGCAUUGCCUCCUUUAUGGUCUUCCAUAAAUUCGCUUAAAUAUAUGGUGUUUACAUGGUUAACGUUUUCCUUUACACCUUCCGUUCGUUUGACUACCUUAGAAAUGGACGUAGUUUAGUGGAAUAAGUUCAUGCAAAGGUAUUCAAGAUUUGAUCAACUCGGUUUACUUAUUUUUAAAGUACCGUAAGUAUUUAAUAUACUGUUUUUCAAAUUUGUAAAUAAUAUGUUUUAAAUGUUUUGUGUAAUGGUCCAAUGACCUAGUUGUAAUGAAGUGUUUUAUCCUAAUUCUGAUAAAUUAGUGGACGUUCAGUUAUAAUGGAAAAGUAUGGAGAGCAAAGUGAUCUAAGUUGUGGAAAAGCCAAGAUCAAUUCUUUUAGUUUACCAGAUCGAAGUCCGGCUGCCGCAUUUGGAAACAUUUUAAUUACAUUAAAAGUUACUUUUACUAUUCAGUUAAAUUAUAAUUUCAGUUACUUAUUCAAAUGACUUAUUAUUAUUUUCACAUUUCGUUAUCCAAUCACUAUUCUUCUUAAGAAGUUACAAAUGAACUUUUCGAACAGAGGCUAUUCAUUCA